CAGCAGCCGCGGGAAAACGUAGGUGGCAAGCGUUGUCCGGAAUUAUUGGGCGUAAAGCGCGCGCAGGCGGAUCAGUUAGUCUGUCUUAAAAGUUCGGGGCUUAACCCCGUGAUGGGAUGGAAACUGCUGAUCUAGAGUAUCGGAGAGGAAAGUGGAAUUCCUAGUGUAGCGGUGAAAUGCGUAGAUAUUAGGAAGAACACCAGUGGCGAAGGCGACUUUCUGGACGAAAACUGACGCUGAGGCGCGAAAGCCAGGGGAGCGAACGGGAUUAGAUACCCCAGUAGUCCCUGUCUCUUAUACA
rnacentral:rRNA from 1 species